UACGUAGGGGGCUAGCGUUGUCCGGAAUCAUUGGGCGUAAAGAGCGUGUAGGCGGCCCGGUAAGUCCGCUGUGAAAGUCGGGGGCUCAACCCUCGAAUGCCGGUGGAUACUGUCGGGCUAGAGUGCGGAAGAGGCGAGUGGAAUUCCUGGUGUAGCGGUGAAAUGCGCAGAUAUCAGGAAGAACACCUAUGGCGAAGGCAGCUCUCUGGGACGGUACUGACGCUGAGACGCGAAAGCGUGGGGAGCGAACAGG
rnacentral:rRNA from 1 species